rnacentral:lncRNA from 1 species
UUUCCUUAUUUGCACAAACUGUGUGCUAUCAGACUUUUUUCUUAAAUAAGUCUCUGUGUAUUUACACUUCUUAUGCUGCUUUGGAAAAAUGUUUGAUCAACCUCUUUCCUUAAUUGUCUUACCCGUUUGAAAUCAGAAUCCCUUAAUUGAAGGGGAACUUUUGUAAUUGAUUUUUAAAUUAUUCUUCUACCUUAUUCUGCUUGCCUUCUGUACUAUAAAAAGAGCACGACUCCUUUUUCACCAAUACACUCUCAAUUCGAC